GAUGAAGAACGUAGCGAAAUGCGAUAAGUAGUGUGAAUUGCAGAAUUCCGUGAAUCAUCGAAUCUUUGAACGCACAUUGCGCCUUCUGGUAUUCCGGAAGGCAUGCCUGUUCGAGAGUCAUUAACAACCGUUUCGAUCCCUUUCUUUCAGAAAUUACAAAGAGGAAAAGGGUUUGGUUAUGGUGGAGGAGGGAAAGGGAGCGUUUAGCCUGUAAAAAAAGAGGCUGUGUUCCGCCUCCCCCCCAAAAUUGUACAGGCGGUCGGGUGCGCCCACGCAUCGAGGUGUUGUAAAAGCUGCCACGGCACUUUUCACCUGUGCAGUGCGAGAUUGGCCAGCCGGUUUAAAAACCCCUCCAAACAAUCAAAGGUUGACCUCGGAUCAGGUAGGGAUACCCGCUGAACUUAAGCAUAUCAAUAAGCGGAGGA
rnacentral:misc_RNA from 1 species